CUGUAAACCAAGCCAUUUGGCUCAAGAAGUUGCUGGUUGAUUUGAAGCAUGAACAGGUAAACGAAGCCAUUUGGCUCAGUAUUUGAAUGCUGUGUGACAAUCUCCACAAACUCGGAGAUUCUUAAAAACCCUUACUGGUUUAGAUUUUGAUGUGCUGAUGAAACCAAAUGCAACAGCAAUUUUCUCACUGUGUUGAAACAAAUAUUGCUCCUU
rnacentral:misc_RNA from 1 species